CCCUUAGAUGUUCUGGGCCGCACGCGUGCUACACUGAGUGGAUCAGCGGGUCAGGUUGCGCGAAAGUGUUUCCUAAUCUUGAAAUCCGCUCGUGAUGGGGAUUGACGGUUGCAAUUUUCCGUCAUGAACGAGGAAUACCUUGUAAGCGCGGGUCAUCAUCCCGCGCUGAAUACGUCCCUGCCCUUUGUACACACCGCCCGUCGCUCCUACCGAUUGAGUGGUCCGGUGAGGCUUUGGGAUCUGAGCGGAAAGAGCGUUUCGCUGUUUCUGCUCGGAAAACUCAGUCGAACCUUAUCAUUUAGAGGAGGGAGAAGUCGUAACA
rnacentral:rRNA from 1 species